AAUGGGAGGAAAAGAAACCAACCGGGAUUGCCUUAGUAACGGCGAGUGAAGCGGCAAAAGCUCAAAUUUGAAAUCUGGUACCUUCGGUGCCCGAGUUGUAAUUUGGAGAGGGCAACUUUGGGGCCGUUCCUUGUCUAUGUUCCUUGGAACAGGACGUCAUAGAGGGUGAGAAUCCCGUGUGGCGAGGAGUGCGGUUCUUUGUAAAGUGCCUUCGAAGAGUCGAGUUGUUUGGGAAUGCAGCUCUAAGUGGGUGGUAAAUUCCAUCUAAAGCUAAAUAUUGGCGAGAGACCGAUAGCGAACAAGUACAGUGAUGGAAAGAUGAAAAGAACUUUGAAAAGAGAGUGAAAAAGUACGUGAAAUUGUUGAAAGGGAAGGGCAUUUGAUCAGACAUGGUGUUUUGUGCCCUCUGCUCCUUGUGGGUAGGGGAAUCUCGCAUUUCACUGGGCCAGCAUCAGUUUUGGUGGCAGGAUAAAUCCAUAGGAAUGUAGCUUGCCUCGGUAAGUAUUAUAGCCUGUGGGAAUACUGCCAGCUGGGACUGAGGACUGCGACGUAAGUCAAGGAUGCUGGCAUAAUGGUUAUAUGCCGCCCGUCUUAACC
rnacentral:rRNA from 1 species